rnacentral:lncRNA from 1 species
CCUCUCCUUGACUGCGCCUUUGCUCGCCACAGCUGCCAGGCCUCUCGGAGCUCGGGGUGGCCCCGCCGGAGUGGCUCAUUUCUCGGAGCCCGCCCGCGGGCACGGUCGGUGGAGUCCCCAGGCUAGUUUGGCUUUUUAGGAACAAGGAUUCCCGAUCCUUGCACACUUCUCUUCCCCACUUCCACCCCACCCCACCCCCCGAGCUUCUUCCCAGGCUUCCUGUUGGGGCUACGUAAUCCCGCCACCCGCAGCAAAGCACAGGCCGGCCGGCCUGGCAUUUGCGUUGCGUUAUGGACAUGCACGGCGGGAGGAUCAAGCAGAAGCGGCGUUAUAAGAACUUGCCUGCAUGAAAGACAGACCUCUUGAAGUGACCUGUUUUCCGUAGUGAAUUGCAAAAGAAUGUGGAUUAACCAAAUUCCUUGCUACCUACUGAUGGUAGCACAUUUAUGUAUUCUGAACCGGUUUGUCUACAGCCAAAAAGAAGGUUCUUCAUAUUCGGCUCAGAACUUGACAUGUAUAACAC